rnacentral:lncRNA from 1 species
UUGUGCUAACCUGCUAGUCAUGGUUUUCCAUGACCUUGGUACAUGGCAGGUGAUAUCAAAGUUGUUCCAUGCUAGGGAUUGCUUUUGAUUUUAGUUGCUUUCUCCUUUUCUGAUCUCAAUUCUUUUCUUUCAUCUUCCUAUUUUGUUUCUUCUUGAUCUCAUCUUUAAUCUUUUUUUUACUCUUUUAAUUUGUUGAUUACCAAACAUGAUUUCACAUUCAAAGUUAACCCUAAGACUAAGAGAGCUUAUACAAAUCUUUAACCUAAACACUAGAAAUAUUAGCAUGUUAUGUCGGCAAUUGGAAGAAGAUUUCAGCAUGUAUUUAUUUUAUAAGAAAGCAUAUAAAAGAACAAGCUGAGUUGUUUAUGUUUGAUCAAGACAAAAAUCUUGAUACUGAAGUGGGGGCUUUUGAAUCAAAUGAAGAAGAUGAUGAGCUCGUGCAAUCAUAAACUCCAGCUGAAAAAUCUAUUUUAAUGACUAUUGCUCCAUCAACAAACAAUCAUUGCAAAGGUGAUGAAGACAUCAAAGAUAUUACAAUCAUCAAUUCAAAAUCGUAAGAGUUUCUUCUAUAUUGAUCAGAUUGCUCUUAAUAUUUAUAAAAAUAGAAUGCAGGAACCAUGUGUAGAUUAACCAAUUUUUGAAUCAGAUUUUUGCUUAAUUAGUGGUAUAAUAAUUUCUAAGGAUUUAGAUGAUUGAUUUACUCAGAAAAAGGUUGUAUGUGGUUAUGCUUAUGGUGAUUGGUUAUGAAAAUUUCAAAGGAAAAUAGAAUUAAAAGAAGUAUACAAAUUGAGUAUUAUGCGCCUCCAAGGUGUUUGUGAAAAUAAAAAUGGGGAUUGUUGAUGCUAUUGUUUUCAUGUGCCUAAAUAGAUAUGUAAUGAUGUUUUCAUUCUCGAAGAAAUGGAGUUUGAGAAAUGGAGAAGGCAAAGGAAAAGAAUGAAAUUCUUGUUAACAUUUGCAAACUUUUGUAUCUUCCAUGUUAGCUUGUUAAAGAUAAAAUACCCUCAUGAAAAAGUAAUAUCAAGGGAAUGUGCUUUAAUUCCUAUGGUCCAAAUUAUUACUAAUGGAGGGCCUUAGGAGGACUACUAUUCAUGGUGUAUCAAGUUCCUGAAAUUUUCCUCAAGGACAAGGAAAAUGUCCAAAGGAGGGGUAAUGUCAGGAUUCUUAUGAGCUCAAGGACUAAGGUUGCAUUCCAAGCACAAUUGAUAGUGCCACAAUAGGAAGAUUCCAUGGGAAUAUCAGAAAUGUCUAAAGAAUUGGAGGGGAUUUUGCAAAAAAACUUGUUAUUUAUCUAUUAUUAAUUUAUUGUAUUAAUUGUCAAUGUCUUUUAGUAAAUUAGUUAGUAAAAUUAGUUGUUAUUUUGUUUGCCAAUAUCUAGUCAUGAUUUGAAUAAGAUACUUCUAAUAAUUUGUUAUUAAUAGUGCUGAGAUAUAUAUGGG